UGCCUUACACAUGCAAGUCGAACGGCAGCACGGGAGCAAUCCUGGUGGCGAGUGGCGAACGGGUGAGUAAUAUAUCGGAACGUGCCCAGUCGUGGGGGAUAACGCAGCGAAAGCUGUGCUAAUACCGCAUACGAUCUAUGGAUGAAAGCGGGGGAUCGCAAGACCUCGCGCGAUUGGAGCGGCCGAUAUCAGAUUAGCUAGUUGGUGGGGUAAAAGCUCACCAAGGCGACGAUCUGUAGCUGGUCUGAGAGGACGACCAGCCACACUGGAACUGAGACACGGUCCAUANUCNUACGGGAGGCAGCAGUGGGGAAUUUUGGACAAUGGGCGCAAGCCUGAUCCAGCAAUGCCGCGUGCAGGAUGAAGGCCUUCGGGUUGUAAACUGCUUUUGUACGGAGCGAAACGGCUCACUUUAAUACAGGGAGCUAAUGACGGUACCGUUAAGAAUAAGCACCGGCUAACUACGUGCCAGCAGCCGCGGUAAUACGUAGGGUGCAAGCGUUAAUCGGAAUUACUGGGCGUAAAGCGUGCGCAGGCGGUUAUAUAAGACAGAUGGUGAAAUCCCCGGGCUCAACCUGGGACCUGCAUUUGUGACUGUUC
rnacentral:rRNA from 1 species